AACGAACGCUGGCGGCGCGCCUAAUACAUGCAAGUCGAGCGAGAAGACGUAGCAAUACGUUUGUAAAGCGGCGAACGGGUGAGGAAUACAUGGGUAACCUACCCUCGAGUGGGGAAUAACUAGCCGAAAGGUUAGCUAAUACCGCGUACGCUCCUUGGACUUCGGUUCAGGGAGGAAAGCGAUACCGUGGGUAUCGCGCUCUUGGAUGGGCUCAUGUCCUAUCAGCUUGUUGGUGAGGAACGGCUCACCAAGGCUUCGACGGGUAGCUGGUCUGAGAGGACGAUCAGCCACACUGGCACUGCGACACGGGCCAGACUCCUACGGGAGGCAGCAGUAAGGAAUAUUGCGCAAUGGGCGAAAGCCUGACGCAGCGACGCCGCGUGGGGGAUGAAGGUCUUCGGAUUGUAAACCCCUUUCGGGAGGGAAGAUGGAACGAGCAAUCGUUCGGACGGUACCUCCAGAAGCAGCCACGGCUAACUUCGUGCCAGCCGCCGCGGUAAU
rnacentral:rRNA from 1 species